UACGUAGGGUCCGAGCGUUAUUCGGAAUUAUUGGGCGUAAAGGGCGUGUAGGCGGCUUCGUAAGUCUUGUGUGAAAGCCCUCGGCUCAACCGAGGAAUUGCACGAGAAACUGCGUGGCUCGAGUCCGGGAGAGGAUAGUGGAAUUCCCAGUGUAGCGGUGAAAUGCGUAGAUAUUGGGAGGAACACCGGUGGCGAAGGCGGCUAUCUGGACCGGUACUGACGCUGAGGUGCGAAAGCGUGGGGAGCAAACAGG
rnacentral:rRNA from 1 species